rnacentral:rRNA from 1 species
GUAAAGCGUGCGUAGGCGGAUUUUUAAGUCGAAUGUUAAAUAUACGGGCUCAACUCGUACGCUGCAUCCGAUACUGGAAGUCUUGAGAGUGGAAGAGGCAAAUGGAAUUCCCGGUGGAGCGGUUAAAUGCGUAGAUAUCGGGAGGAACACCAAUGGCGAAGGCAGUUUGCUGGGCCAUUUCUGACGCUAAGGCACGAAAGCGUGGGGAGCGAUCGGGAUUAGAUACCCCGGUAGUCCACGCCGUAAACGAUGUCUACUAGCUUUUUCGGGUAUCGACCCCUGGAGAAGCGAAGCUAACGCGUUAAGUAGACCGCCUGGGGAGUACGAGCGCAAGCUUAAAACUCAAAGGAAUUGACGGGGACCCGCACAAGCGGUGGAACAUGUGGUUUAAUUCGUAGCUAAGCGAAAGACCUCACCGAGGCUUGACAUCCUGGUCGUAUUCUAUGGAAACAUAGAAGUCAUUUAGUUGGACCAGUGACAGGUGUUGCAUGGCUGUCGUCAGCUCGUGUCGUGAGAUGUUGGGUUAAGUCCUUCGACGAGCGCAACCCUCAUUGUAUGUUAAUUUUUCAUACGAAACUGCCCUGGUUAACGGGGAGGAAGGUGGGGAUGACGUCAAGUCAGCAUGGCCCUUACGCCUCGGGCCACACACGUGUUACAAUGGCCGGAACAAUGGGUUGCAAUAUCGUAAGAUGGAGCUAAUCCCCAAAUCCGGUCCCAGUUCGGAUUGAGGGCUGAAAUUCGCCCUCAUGAAGUCGGAAUCGCU